rnacentral:rRNA from 1 species
GACGAACGCUGGCGGCGUGCUUAACACAUGCAAGUCGAACGGAAAGGCCCUGCUUGCAGGGUGCUCGAGUGGCGAACGGGUGAGUAACACGUGGGUGAUCUGCCCCUUACUUUGGGAUAAGCCUGGGAAACUGGGUCUAAUACUGGAUAGGACCAUGCUGUAGGUGGUGUGGUGGAAAGAUUAGUUUCGGUAAGGGAUGAGCUCGCGGCCUAUCAGCUUGUUGGUGGGGUAAUGGCCUACCAAGGCGUCGACGGGUAGCCGGCCUGAGAGGGUGGACGGCCACAUUGGGACUGAGAUACGGCCCAGACUCCUACGGGAGGCAGCAGUGGGGAAUAUUGCACAAUGGGCGCAAGCCUGAUGCAGCGACGCCGCGUGGGGGAUGACGGCCUUCGGGUUGUAAACUCCCUUCAGCCAUGACGAAGCCCUUGUGGUGACGGUAGUGGUAGAAGAAGCACCGGCUAACUACGUG